AGUGCAAUUAACUUUAUGGUA
rnacentral:siRNA from 1 species